rnacentral:lncRNA from 1 species
GCUGUAUCUCAUAUUUUGUAAUAUCUGCAUGGCAUUAAAUUAACUCUCUGGUUGUUAAAGAUUUACUUCUAUGUUUAUUUCUUAAAGCACUUUUGUUUUUCCACAGCAGGUCUUAAAAUUGGCCAAGAAGGUGUUUUUUCUUUUCUUUGCCACAGGAUCAUGGUUUUUUCCAUUGUUAUUAAAGAUUCAGUUGCCUCACCUGAGCCACAAUAGAUGCGGUAGAAACGGGACACCUCAGAGAUUUGAUUUUGUCACGCUCUGAAAUUCAUACGAAGGUUGGUGGGAAUCUUUGUGCUGAUAAUACCCACAGCUCUUCUCCCAUAGCAGGAUUUGAGGGAAACUUGGCAAGAAACACUGCCUCUGAAUCCAGCCUCCCUGCCGCAGCCCCAGGUCGAGCAGGUGGACCGGAACCACGGUCACUGACCAGGGUAUCUGAUCCUCUCAGUCUGAAGGAAAGUGAGAACUCAGCACAAACGCCAUGGACGGUACAGUGUGGGAGGGAGCAGCCUAGAGAGAGAAGCACGAAGCACUCGCUCAUGUCGGAGGAGGAGGAAGAGCGAUCCAUGGGCAGGGGAAUUUGAGAGAGAGACCUCCUUCAGACCCGGUUAGCGCACUGUUUUCAAAAAACCUGAAUGGAACAACCUGUUGAGAGAGCAAAGAGCGCUUGUGUUUGUGGCACACGGGAGCCUGGCGGCCGCAGGUGCAUGUCAACAGGAGACCCACGGCAGGCCUCCCCUCCACGGCCCCUCCCACACCCCAGACUUAGACAUGCUGGUACUGGACAUCCUGAGCUGCUUCAAGUUGGAACGUCACAUCCUCCAGAGUUCCAGGCGGCACUAAAGUCUCUGGGACAUGGUCAGCUGUUUAGAUGGGUUCCCAGGAAGGCUCACUGUUCUGGAAAGGUCUGUAAGCCUGUGACCUGAGCUCCUUGAGGUUCAGGGGGCAGGUCUGACUGAAGCAGAGUUUUCCCUUCCCCGGCUCAGGAGGGAUUUCCCACUUCUCCCUGGUGAGUGUCUGAGGGUAGUGACUCUGCCAGGCUGGGGGCCGCAGGUCCCGGAAGCCCAGGGCAUGGAUGCUUGUGGGUAUUCAAUUGAUGUCUUUCCCAUAGUUGGUUUCAUUUAGGCAUUGUAUACGUAUUUUCUGCCAAACUCUGUUACACUUCAAGCUCCAUGAAAGCAGGGACCAUGACUACUUUGUUAACUGUAUAACCAGGGCCUGGCCCUGAGGCUGGCACUAGAUGCCCAACAAAGGCUUGUUGAAUGAGUGGCCAACACCUUACCUUUUCUACAGUUGGUCUUUCUGGUUAAAGAGAAAGAAUGAAAGUGAUGGGAUUGACACUGUGUUCUAUGGAAAUGCUGCUCCCUGGAGUUGUGCAACAUAAGUGCUCCAGAUAGAAGGGCACACAGCAAAGCUGACUCAGGCGAUGGUGCAAGUUCAAUUUUUAACUUUUGUGCCCAGAAAGUCCUCAUGUCUCAACUCCUGGCUGGGCCUGGGAUGGUCCCAAAGUCUUCAGGCUGAUGUUUCUUUAAGGUCGUCCUAGGAAGCAGGACCAGAGUCCUCCUGUUCAUGAAGUCCAGGGCUCCCUGCGAUGGUCCCCAGAUUGGGUACAUCCAUGGCCCUGCCUGUGCUCCUGCUAUAUCUACCCAGGGCCAGGCGCUUCCAUCUCUCACCUUCCCCUCUCUGCCAGCUCUCAGCAUGCCUUCCAGGACAUGGCUUGUGUUUGGCUAAUGUUUGCAUGGAGUUCAGUCUCUCUCCUGGAGAAAAGGGCAGAUAUUCUGAUGGCUGGGGCACCAGCUGGGGCUGUGGAUUCCAGCAGCGCAGCAGAGGGGAAGAAGCCCUGGAAUCUGAGUCUGGAGGCCGGGUCAGAGUCUCGACACUGAUCGUCAGCUCACUAGAAAAUGAAGGCACUGUGAUGCCUGAGGUGUUGGCUGCCUCUAGGGUUCCAUGAGUCUCAGACACCCACCUCUUCAAGAGUAGGUGCCAAGGCUGUCACGGAUUUGCAAUGAUUUUCCCAUGUGUUAACUGGAAACUUAAAGGAAACAUUAGCCAUGAGGGUUGGGAGCUUAGAUUAAUAUUUAGAAAGGAUUUACAAAUAAAAGAACCCAGUUAAUCCCAAAAUAGAAGUCUUUUCAUUUCUAUUUGCGUAGUGGGUGGAGAUGGAGUCCCUGGCUAGGACAUUUCCCAUAACCUUCCCUGUCAAGCCCCUCUGCUGUAGCAGUUUCUAACUUUACAGCCACAAAGCCAGCAUGUGCUUCCCACAGCUUCAGCCCCGACUGCCGGAGGAUGCAUUCAGGGUUCUGACUCUGGCCCGAGGAGGAGGCACAGUGCUUGCCAAGUGAGUGCCGACUUUUGCAAGCAAAGCCUCAGGACAAAAUGGAGAGGCAACCAUGACAAUGGUGUCAGAUCACUCUAUACAGCAUAAAAGAUUAAGGGCUAGACUUUGGUGUGAGACAGGCUUCAAUCCUUGAACCAUUGUUUGGCCAACUAAUUGGCUUACUUAAGCCUCAGAUUCCUUAUCUGUUAAAUGAAGAUAAAAAUGGUGUCUACAUCAGACAGUUCUUGUGAGAAUACAGUAACACAGCUAAAGCUCUUAACCUAACGCCCAGCAAGCAGUAAGUGCUUAAUAAAUACUGGCUAUUAUUAUUAUGCUUUUGCUACGGUUUGAAUGUGUCCCCUAAAGUUCAUAUGUUGGAAACAUAAUCUUCGGUGCAAGUGUUUAGAGGUGGGGCCUUAUAAGAGGUGAUUAGGUCAAAAGGGCUCUGUACUCAGGGAGGACUUAAUGCUUUUGUCUUGGGAGUGAGUUAUCUUGAGAGUGGGUGGUUAUAAAAGCGAGUUUGGGUCCCUCUUGCCCGCUCACCCUCAUCCUCUCUUGCCCUUCUGCCUUGAGCCAUGGCACGACACAGCACAGAGGCCCUCACCAGAUGCCAGUGCCAUGGUCUUGGACUUCCCAGCCUCCAGAACUGUGAGCCAAAUAUGUUUCUUUUUCUUUCUUUUUUUUUCAGGUCAGAUGGGUAAUGUGCUGACAUUGUAACAAGGUUUGAGGGUGGUACAUCUCACAUAUGUGUGUGAGCACCCAAUCAUCAUGCUCACGAACUACAGAAGGAUCAAGCCAAAUACAUUUCCGAUAAAUUACCUAGUCUUAAGUAUUCCGUUACAGUAGCACAGAACAGACUGAGACGCGUUAUUCUGGCCUAUGUCCCUUGGUUGUUGCAUGACAGGAUGUUCCCUUCACUACUGAGAGCCGAUGUCUCCUUGUCUCCUGUUACUUCUUAGGCAUUAGUACCUUGAAAGUUUGCCAUAAAAUCUCAGUUAGGGCCUCAGAAGACAGACACAUGAGAUAACUAGGCUUUAGAAACACUCCACCCCCACACACUCAGCUAUGAAAACGGUUUGUUUCCUGCUGCUGGAAAUCCACACAUUCCUCCUUGCCAGUGUACACACAAGCAGAGAUCAAGGGAAUAUUGACUAGGGUUCCCCUACUUCCUCUCUUAAAUGCCACCACCCGAAUCGGACUGAGGGCACCCCUGGAGUCACUCACAGCAGAGUAAUUACGUGGAGGUGACAUCCUGCUUAUGUCUUCAGACCCCCACCCUCUGGACUGGGAGCUGCAGGGCAGCAGCAAUGAGGCCUUCUGGAGGGGUCUGCACACACCCCUCUGGAUCUGUCCUGGUGAUGUCCUGCUGGGCUGAACCCCUCCCACCACCUGCUAUCAUUCCAUUC